UCUACUUCUAUAUUGCUUAUAGGCAGCGUGGUAUAAGUUUUGCAUAAUGGUGUAUUAGUUUGAAGUAGUUAUACUUGUGAUUGCAGGAAGUUACCAGUAUAAGUAACCCUGGAUGAUAACCAAGACAUUGAGGUAUGCUUUGUUAUGAUUUAUUAUUUUUGGACAACACUUUAAGUCCUUGGUUUGAUGUUGAGGAUCUCUGUCUCAAUUCAUUUUCUAUAAUUAAGCUUUGGAAUUAUCUUGCAUUCUGCCAUAUUUCAUGCUAUUUUCUUAGUUCUUCAUCAAUCUGUUUUGAUCAUUUAUCAAUUAACAUCAAGCUUUGGAAUUGACAUUAUGUUUAUAUAUGUUGGCAAUACCAAUCAAAUCACAUGUUCAAGAGACGGUUACAAAAUACUUGACUCAUGCUUCGUCUGUUUCUUACUGCAUUUUUAUGAAUCUAUUUAUUUUGCUAUGAAUUUUCUUUAUUAUUAUUUUUCUUGUAUGCAGCCUUUACAUGGUUGGUGUUCGUAUUGGAGAGACGACUUGAUGUUGGAGGCUUGGAGCAUUAUCUAUAAGAAGAAGUUGCAAAUUUGCUUU
rnacentral:lncRNA from 1 species